rnacentral:rRNA from 1 species
GAUGAACGCUGGCGGCGUGCCUAAUACAUGCAAGUCGAGCGAACAGACGAGGAGCUUGCUCCUCUGACGUUAGCGGCGGACGGGUGAGUAGCACGUGGAUAACCUACCUAUAAGACUGGGAUAACUUCGGGAAAACGGAGCUAAUACCGGAUAAUAUAUUGAACCGCAUGGUUCAAUAGUGAAAGGCGGUUUUGCUGGCACUUAUAGAUGGAUCCGCGCCGCAUUAGCUAGUUGGUAAGGUGACGGCCUACGAAGGCAACGAGGCGUGGGCGACCUGAGAGGGUGAUCGGCCACAUUAGAGCGUGGCCACGGUCCCUACUCCUACGGGACGCAGCAGUCGGGAACCUUCGGCAGUGGUCGAAAGCCUUACGGAGCGGCGCCGCGCGAGUCAUAGCGGUCCUCCGUGCGUAAAGCUCUCUUAUUGGGGAAGAACCAAUGUGUACGGAGCUAUGGACGUCUUGACGGUACCUACACAGAAAGCCCCGGCCAACUACGUG